rnacentral:rRNA from 1 species
CCUACGGGUGACAGCAGUGAGGAAUAUUGGUCAAUGGGCGAGAGCCUGAACCAGCCAAGUCGCGUGAAGGAUGACGGCCCUACGGGUUGUAAACUUCUUUUGUCAGGGAGCAAUUGAGUCCACGUGUGGUCUUAGCGAGAGUACCUGAAGAAAAAGCAUCGGCUAACUCCGUGCCAGCAGCCGCGGUAAUACGGAGGAUGCGAGCGUUAUCCGGAUUUAUUGGGUUUAAAGGGUGCGUAGGCGGCAUAAUAAGUAGCUAGUGAAAUCUGGUGGCUCAACCAUUCAGACUAUUAGCUAAACUGUUAAGCUCGAGACCGUUAGGGGUAACUGGAAUUUCUAGUGUAGGAGUGAAAUCCGUAGAUAUUAGAAGGAACACCAAUAGCGUAGGCAGGUUACUGGGACGGUUCUGACACUAAGGCACGAAAGCGUAGGGAGCAAACGGGAUUAGAUACCCUGGUAGUC